AAAUUGAAGAGUUUGAUCAUGGCUCAGAUUGAACGCUGGCGGCAGGCCUAACACAUGCAAGUCGAACGGUAACAGAAAGCAGCUUGCUGCUUUGCUGACGAGUGGCGGACGGGUGAGUAAUGUCUGGGAAACUGCCUGAUGGAGGGGGAUAACUACUGGAAACGGUAGCUAAUACCGCAUAACGUCGCAAGACCAAAGAGGGGGACCUUCGGGCCUCUUGCCAUCGGAUGUGCCCAGAUGGGAUUAGCUUGUUGGUGGGGUAACGGCUCACCAAGGCGACGA
rnacentral:rRNA from 1 species